CUCUUGUUGCCAUGCCGACAUUAGCUUUUAGUUCAUGGCACAGAAACAAAAUAAAUGCUCUGAGCCCCAAAAAGGUGCCAGCAGGAUGAAAAAUCCUGUUUUCUUUAAACAGCCAAAACAACACCGUUUAUCUCAGCCAGAGCAGCCAGAAGCUGAAAACGGUAUCGUCAGGAGCUAGAUCCUGUAGUCCUAACACAUCACACUCCCGCAAGCUGUGAAUGACUCGCCUGAGACCAGCAGUCAUGUGUCAAAAACUCUGUGAAACUUGAGGAGCUCAGUGAGGAGAGGAGAUUCUGUAACAGCGGCUGUGAACAUGUGAGUAGCUCAGUGAAUGUAGCACGCAAAACAUUUUUGGCAACUUUGAAAGAAGUCGUAUGUAUCCAUUGUUUGUCAAUUUUAUCAAAGAAAGGCAAUUAGCAUUUUUUCUUUCUUGUGAUUUGCGGCAUUGUAAUUGUUAAUACUGUACAAUAAACCUUUUUGAGUUAUCUACCCCCAGCCAUGGUUUUGCAAGGCCACAGAGGAAAACACCUUGAAACUUAUUGUUUUGCGUUAGUUGUCCACUUUGUCCGUUUCUCUUUGUUUUGGCCUACAUUAUGCAGCGGACACCUCGACCCCUCUACAAUAACUUAACACUACUAACAUCUGUGCACGAGAUGAAUCAUUUCAGGAAAGAAAACAUAAUGAUAAUCGGCAGCAAGUAAGCAAAGGAAGCACGGAGCGAGCCGCCAAGGGAGGCAGAGAUGGAGAAAGGAAAGGUGGGACAGAGACGGCCAGAGACGGAGAGGUGAGGGGAACCAAAAAAAGGGAGGAAUGAAGCCACAAACAAAGAGAAAGGAAGGAGAAGAGGCCUUGAACCCAACACCACUUUGCAGCCAAGCAUAAAGUAUCACUCUGUUUCAUGCGCCCUUGAUCUUUUCUUACUGUAGAGCUUCUGGAGUGCCUUUGCUCUCCUGCCCGCAUCGCACAUCAUUUGUUAACAGGGAGCCCAGAGUUCUUGCGGCCGGUGAGCAGAGCUGCAUAGCAACCCAACAGCACUUCCUGUUGGGCCAGGGGUCGAACGCCGGUGCCCGUUGUUCACCGCAGUGCCCCCUCGGCCUUUAGAAAGACGGCCGGGAAGCAGUUCGCUUACAAUCGGCUUUGUGCUUCGUUGUGAGGAGAAGAGAAAUGAGCGGAAAGGCAAAGCACCCUCAGUUCAGCGCACCCUUUAACAGGCGGGGGGCCUCCAUACGGCUUUGCUAAUGUGGGUCCCCGAGGGCCUACCGGCGCCAUUUUUGGAACAAUAAAAGCUGAGCAGUCAGCAUUCAGUACCUUUUUAAUUAAGUCUGUUUCCAUUAACGACUUUAGUAUUUCUCCUUCAAUCAAAAUCAAUAUCCUUUCAUCCAGGAUUUUCGUUUUCCAGGAAAGGUCCUGAUCGUGUAGAGGAAGUGUGGCCGUCUUUUAUGUGAAA
ensembl:lncRNA